rnacentral:rRNA from 1 species
GACGAACGCUGGCGGCGUGCUUAACACAUGCAAGUCGAACGGAAAGGCCCUGCUUUUGUGCGGUGCUCGAGUGGCGAACGGGUGAGUAACACGUGAGUAACCUGCCCUUGACUUUGGGAUAACUUCAGGAAACUGGGGCUAAUACCGGAUAGGAGCUCCUGCUGCAUGGUGGGGGUUGGAAAGUUUCGGCGGUUGGGGAUGGACUCGCGGCUUAUCAGCUUGUUGGUGGGGUAGUGGCUUACCAAGGCUGUGACGGGUAGCCGGCCUGAGAGGGUGAACGGCCACAUUGGGACUGAGAGACGGCCCAGACUCCUACGGGAGGCAACAGUGGGGAAUAUUGCACAAUGGGCGGAAGCCUGAUGCAACAACGCCGCGUGCGGGAAGACGGCCUUCGGGUUGUAAACCGCAUUCGCCUGUGACGAAGCGUGAGUGACGGUAAUGGGUGAAGAAGCACCGGCUAACUACGUG